CGCGGGUAGAGCGCGCGAGAGGAGCGGCGCGGGGGCGCCCCCCUCGGCCGGGCGCUCGGGUUACAGCCCCGGCUCUCCGGCUUCCCCGCCCGCUCCUUGCCGGUUCACUCGCGCCGUGAGAGACAUUGUAACGGAACUGGGACGCCAGCGCUGCAUUGUGGGAGCUUUUAAAGCGGCGGGGAGCGCGGCGCAGCCGCUCGGGCCCACCGGGCCAAGCUCACCCCGGCGCCCCUAGCUCGGCCCCGCCGCCGCUCGCCCCACCACACACCCCCGACCGCCGAGGCCUAUGGACCAGAAAAGCCAGAAAUGGUGAGGUGACCAGUGCCUACUGACUCUCACAGGAGCAAAAUCUUCCAGAGCUCCGGGUGAGACUUGUAAAACUGCCCUCUACGGUCAUGUCGGAAAGUAGGAGGCUUAUUCUGCAGACGCUUAAAAAAGAAAAAAAGGAAAGAAAACAAAACAAAACCUUCCAUCCUCCAAGGACUGGGUUUGAAUUGCUUUUCAUCUGGAGUGGCAGUGAUUCAACGACCCCCUUCUCAGCGGCAGGCAGUGACAGAGACAGGAGAUGAAAAACACAGCGAAUGAAUCAGACGCAUUUCAAGAGAUCAGAGAUAGCCUGGCCACUCAGAAGCAUCAUCCCAUCCAUUAGGAAGAGAACCCAAAUUAAGGAUUCCACCGAUUCCAAAAAAGCAACAGUCUGGAAAAGAAGUCAGUGCUUCAGAGGUGAUCUGAAUCCAGGAAGAAAUGCAAGAUGCCUAUAAUAAAAAAACUCCUCUCUGAAAAGCCCAACAAUAGAAUAUUCAUCAGAAGAACAGUAGUUGGAGCCCAGAGGGAGACAAUGGAAGGUUGGGACCAGGGGCCCAAGUUAGAGGAAAGAAAAGAGACUUUUCUUCUAGCCAAGAUGAAAGACAUGCAAGCCAGUCAGAAAACUUCAGUGGCCCUGCAGAGUGAAGUCCAUGAGCAGGAAGAUAAAAUGGAGAAUCAAGCACAAAGAGAAGACACACAUGAUGGUCGCCCAGUGACACAGCGAUCUUUAGUACAUUUUUUUCCACAAACAGAUUCAGAUGCCACACUGCCUUUGUCACAGUCAUUAACCUAUGACACAUCUCUCAGUUACUAUAUGUCUGGCCCUCAGUUUAGUGGAAUAACUGUAUCAACAACUGGGCACAACACUCCUAAAACUACUAUAGAGGGCCAUUCCCAAUCAGCAAACAGCUUGGGAGUCAACAGCUUCAUAAUGACAAAGAAAGAGCCUCUGUCAGUCCUUGCUCCUGAGACAGCUGUAACUGGGGAAGGAGAAGAUUAUUUCCUAUCUUUGUUUGGUGAUUCAAAGAAAUUUGCUGCAUGCUCAUUCCAGGCAGAGAACACCCGGAAGCACUUUUCCAUGAUUCUUGAAGAAGUGGGCCAAUCUAGAUCCAGUGCUCUUGGAGACAUUAAAAUAGCUGAAGUAAAUGUCAAGGGUUUAUUCGUGAAGCUCAUUAACUCUUCCCUUGACAAAGAACUGGAGAUUGGAGGUCAUAUUCUCCAGCAAAAUGUGAAUGGACAAACAGUCUCUUUGUACCGCUUCCUUCCAAAUAUCAUAAUGCAGGCCAAUCGCACAGUAACAGUAUGGGCAGCUGCAUCUGAAGCAAAGCAUCAGCCACCAUCAGAUUUUCUUUGGAGAGAACAAAAAAUGUUUAAAACAAGCCCAGAUUGUACAACAAUUCUGUGCAAACCUAAUGGUGAAGCUGUCGCCUGGUACACUCCUAUUCACUGGAAACAAGUGUGGGAGAAAUUAGAGACUGACAUUGAAUUUGACAGAUGCUCAACAGUAAGUCCAACGUGUCAAAGACACAUAUUUCAUUGGCCAACAGCUAUAUCUACAACUAAAGAAAAACAAGACAAGUCUAAUAAGGAUACCUCAAAAAAUCAGAUGGAACAAGUUAGAGUUUUUCUUAAAAGAGAAAAAGAAAACCCACCAACCCUUUUUCCUAAUAGCAGUCCUUGGUGCCACAGUCCCAAUGUCCCUGCACAUCCCUACUGUCCUCUGAUUGAAACUCACAAUACCAGCAUGGCUGGAAGCAGCUUAGAUAGACAGCCUAGGCCUCAGUCAACUGGGUCUGAUCCAGCCCAGAAGCACAGUUCCUCCCAUCCUUCAGAGAUCACCACAACUUCUUUCAAAAGGCUGUCAAGAUAUCCUACCCUAUCAUAAGAGAAAUCUGAUGACAGAUACUGAAAUAAUAAAUUUUCAUCUCAUUAUAAGUCCCAUUAAUAUUCCCAUUUCACAGCUAAAAAAGGACCACGAAAAAUAAGACAUCUGAGUUACAAAAGCAAUAGGCAACGAACUUAAAGGUUGAUGGUUUAUGUUAACCACUAUUCUUGCAAUGGGAUCGGAGCACCUGAUGAACGGCAUAGAUUCACUACAGAACAUAAGCACAAUUUGAAUUCCGUGAUUUCUGAUACACAUCUCCAACACAGCCUCCUUUUGUAAAUGCUGCAGACAGGAGUGUGGCCAUUUUCAUGCAGACAGUGCUGGCAAGUGGGAGUUAUGACCUCCUCUGGCUGGUCAGGUCCAAGCCACCAAGUGUCCUGCUAGUCUGGGGACAUGAGUCAUUCAUUCAGUAUUCAGGGAAGUGCCUCUCAUUUCUGGGGAAUUAUUUACAUCCACAUUGUGUUUAAACCAAUUAAAAUAAUCCAAGGUAAAAAAAAUAGUGUAGAUAAUGUAAGAAGAAUUACUUCAGGCUUAGAAUCAGUGGAAAACAAAAACAUACAAAAACAAACUGCAAAAAUAUAUCAGUAUUAGCUACACUUAUUUAGAUUGAGACUAUUUCUCAAAUCUUUAAUGGCUAGACUGGCCAGAGGUUCACAAGUGACUUGUAGGGCUGGGUGGGUACCCAUGUCAACAAAGAUCGGGGGACAUAGUUGAUCUUAUGGCAGCUACGGGCUAAAGGGAGGAAGGCUUGGAGUGGUUCUUAAGCUAUUAGGUUAGUUUCCAGAGAGAUGAAAGAAUAUUUACCU